UGAUUAGAUUGGAAUAUUAAAUAUUGUAAUAUGGGAUCUUGUGUAUUUGGAUGCCACUGAUACUUACUUUGUGUUAUUCCAGUGUUAAAGUGCGCUUUUUCGCAGAUAUACACACACAACAUGUGCAGCAGUAGUCAAGCAGGCUAAAGAAUAAACUACAAGCAUCGGUGCCCCUGUUCCUGAUCAUCGACGUGCGCAAUGACGUCAUCACGCACUGAAGCAAGAAAGGGCAGCGCAGGUCCCGUCGUCGAUUGUUGUAAAGGUAAGCGUUUUUUUAUUGCAGGGGCGGCGAUCCAGGAACCAGGAAGAGAAGAAAGAAGAUGGCGGCGUUGUGGGAUGUAGAUUCAGAAGGUGCGGACAGAGGACCAGCUGGACCAUGGGAUUUUUUAAUAGCGUUUCAGUAGCUAUCAGGAAACAUUUGCUCUCUGGUCUGCUGUAAAUCCAGCUUUUCAACCCGAAGAUUUAAAGUAGAACCGAACCCAUGUUUAACAAUAAGGCACAAUCUCCAUGCUUUCUCUUCCAUCACACCAAGCAUGUGCAAGGGAUGCAAGGAACAGACUCCAGGCUUUUUGUCUGCUGAGGAGAAAACAACCCCAACCCUUUACCAGUUUAGUUGCAGUC